rnacentral:rRNA from 1 species
GUAGGUGGCAAGCGUUGUCCGGAAUUAUUGGGCGUAAAGCGCGCGCAGGCGGUCCUUUAAGUCUGAUGUGAAAGCCCACGGCUCAACCGUGGAGGGUCAUUGGAAACUGGGGGACUUGAGUACAGAAGAGGAAAGCGGAAUUCCAAGUGUAGCGGUGAAAUGCGUAGAGAUUUGGAGGAACACCAGUGGCGAAGGCGGCUUUCUGGUCUGUAACUGACGCUGAGGCGCGAAAGCGUGGGGAGCAAACAGGGAUUAGAUACCUGGUAGUCCACGCCGUAAACGAUGAGUGCUAAGUGUUAGGGGGUUUCCCGCCCCUUAGUGCUGCAGCUAACGCAUUAAGCACUCCGCCUGGGGAGUACGGCCGCAAGGCUG